GAUUUGGCCUUGACUUCAGCCAAGCAGCUGAUGCAGACGAAGCCUCCGUUUGCAGGACUGGCAAAGUGCACGCUAAAGAAAGAAGGAAGAAAUUUUUCAAAAAGCAGCUCUGGGGAGGUUUCAUACUCCCCCCCCCCCCCCGCCUUUUUUUAAUUUUUAAGUGAAUAUUUUCCAAAUUUGAUCAGUUCCAGCCCCUCCCUCCACUCCCACCCAACUGCCCUUUUUUCUCUCGUCAAAGCAUAAGCUACAGAGUUACAGUCUCGAGAUUUGGUGUAUCGCUUCCUGCCCCCGCCUCCCCUCCCCGCCCCCGUUCUCCGUCCUCUAUUGAAACACCUCGCCCAGCCUAGCGCACUGAGAGCUCUCAUUUUCCCCCCUUGCUCGGGAUGGUGCCACAGGAGGCUGUGCGGGCCCCGCUCCGCUUCGAAUGGUUGUGUUGAUGUUCCUUUCAGCUGGUCCUAUAGUACCCCUCCUCAGGAAUGUCUCCCCAGUGCAAGGACAAAGACUGAAGAGACUGCUAUAUUGAUGGACUCUCAAGCCAACUAUGAAGUUGAAACAAAGAAAGUGAUCACCUGAAGACACCUCCUCUGCUAAGAAACACCCCCAAAUUGUGCAGCUUCUGCCACUAGAACUCUCAGAACAAGAGACAAUCUUUUCAAGAAACAGAAAAACUCAAUAAUGACAUCUAGAUUUUCAUGAGCCAAGAACUUUCCCUUCCUCAUGUGUAUUCCUCUGUUUGUACUUAAAUUCAUGUGACAUUCAUUUUUUUCCUAGUAUGGAUAUGCUUAUUAAUGCACUUGUUUCAAAAUCCCAAAUUGCACAAAUGUGUUAAUAUUUUAAGAAACAAAAUGAAUCCUACAAGGAGAAUGAUUUUUAGCCACACAUAGGGUUGGAUCUUGAGAGUGACCUACAGAAUAAAAGUACUUUUAAAAUAAAGUAGUCAGAGGCUAUUCAAAGGGUAAAAUAAUCAUAGUACCACAUUGGUCCACUUGACACUAACCAAUCGAUCAUUUUUUUUUAAUCAAGAAAGCUAGAUUCUAUCAGAUAAAAUCACUGCUUCUAAAGAGUUUAAAUCUAGUUAGAAAAAGUUAUAGAAAUGUUUGCAAAGAUAAGUAACAGAUAGAGUCAGUAGAGGAUAAGAUCAAAAACAAAACCAAGCAAAAGAUGAGUUCAGGGGAGUUUGCCAUCAAGUUGGCAAAACUGACUUACUUAGGGAAGAAAGUUAUAAAACAGGAAAAUAUGAGAUGAACCUUGAGUGAUGUGGAAGAUUUAGAUAAAUGGAAAGGAAGGAGAAAAUGGAGUUCUUUAGGUGGUUGUAAUUGGAGGAGGAAAUGAAUACACACAUCUUGUUGACUUAAACCCAGACAUUCAGCAGCUCUCUAUACAUAUCUGGAAAAGACUGCACAGUCACCUCCUGUCUCUCACCCCAGGUAUUACUUAGAAUUAUUAUCAUAUUUCCCUUCCUUUAAAGUAAGUAAGGGUGAUUGGUGACAAUAUGGAGAACUAUGAUUUUUCCAUUAACCUAAUAAUAAUUGGUAUUUAUUGAGUUCUGUUAAGCAUUUUACAUAUUAACUCACUUAAGCCUUUCAACAGCCUUGCAAAAUAGGUAUUAUUAUCCCCAUUUUACAGGCAAGAAAACUGAGGUUUAAGUAACUUGCCGAAGUGCCAUAUACAGGGCUCACAUUCAGUAUUGCAGUUGCAAAGCUCAUGAUCUAUAGUGCCAAGUUGCAAUAUUGUAGUCAAUGUCACAAUUAUUACCCCUUUUUAUAUUCCUUGAUAUUUUUCCAUGGCAAACAAUUAGCUAUUUCAUUUAAUAAUCACCUAAAACUUUUCAGUCUUCUGAUUAAAAUUACGCUGGAGUGAUAGAAUGUAUUUUCAUGAUAGAAAUUGGGAAAAAAAAUGGGGAAUGAAGUUUAUCAGCAUUUCAGACUUGUUUUUUUUUUUUUUUUUUGCAAGACUUUGAUGAGAUUGUUCACUUUUGUCUAUGUAAAAUCCCAAAUCCUUGAGAAUAAAAAAGGGGGAGGUUUAAGUCACUUGUUGCAAUGCCCUUUUUAAUAGAGGCAAUAAAUCUAAAGGCCAUAAAUUUAGAGUGACUUACAGAAGAUCGAACUUUGGAGUGUGGCAGAGUAAGGGAUGGAAACCGGGCCCUCCAGUUCACUAUCAGUAGCUUUUGCACUGGUCUGCCCUUCCUAAAUUAAGUAUGCACUUCAAUUUGAUGAGUGGAAACAGUCUAUCUGGGCAGUAACCAGGGAGCUUUGUGCCUAGUAGAUUGCUUCUGUUCUGCACUUCUUUGGUUUCCCACCUCAAUGUAAAAAAUAGCUAGCAAUGAAGUCCAGAAGUUGUCAAUGGUUCAUCCCCAGAAGAAUGCAUAAUGUCCAAAGUUGUAUGUGUAUGAUGUCUUCAAUGGUAUUAAGUUAUUUCAAAUUCUUAGUUCACCUACAUAAAUCAUUUCUAACAAGCAUCUUCUUAACCAACUUUAUGCACAGUGUAUGUUUGUAAGUGCUUCUGCACGAAUGUUUAUACAUGACUGUUUCCAUAGUACUUAUGUUUUUAAAAAUAUUCAGUCAUUUCCUACUAUAAUCCUCAUGUAUCCAUGUAACUGACUCAAAAAUACUUCAGCCACAGAAAGCUAAAACUGAGCAAAUCUCAUUCUUCUUUUCCAUCCCCUUUGCAUGUGGCUGGCAUUUAGUAAUGAUUAAUAAUAUGGCCAGCUGAAUAACAGAGGUUUGAGACACAAUUCUUUCUCAAAGGAGUCAGCUAAGCUGGGUCUACUUAUGGACAAACAUCUAAAUGUGUGGAAGUAUCUGAUAUUUGACAAUGGUAAAUUUCCACUUAGCUAGCUAGCAUUGUCAGACUUCAAUCUCCUCAUGGCUCUGGCCGUCCUGUUUUAAGCAUGAUAAUUGUUGGCCACAUCUCACAUAGUUCUCAUUGAGUGAGUUCAUAAAUAAACAGGGUUUUUUUUUUUUUUUAAAGAGCAGCCAAGCACAAAGUGUGACUUUGUUGACAUUUUAUGUGACUUUGUCAUAUGUUCCUAACCCCCAAUAAAAGCAAUGUUGCAUCAA
rnacentral:lncRNA from 10 species